AUGUUGAUGCAAGACUACUUUGCGGACAAUCCAACAUAUCCACUGCACCUCUUUCGGAGAAGGUACCGAAUGCGUUGAUCCCUCUUUGUAAAAAUAGUGCAAGCUUGCGAGGCCAAUUGUCGGUAUUUUACUCAAAGAAGAAAUGCCGCGGGCUUGAAGGGAUUUAGUGCAUAUCAAAAAAUCUCGGCAGCUUUGCGGGUAAUUGCAUACGGCAUUCCGGCUGACUAUGCCGAUGAAUACCUUUGGGUGAAGAUACUACAAUUGAGUCAGUGCGUAGGUUUGUCAAAGUGA
rnacentral:rRNA from 1 species